AGUGAACGCUGGCGGUAGGCCUAACACAUGCAAGUCGAACGGCAGCACAGGAGAGCUUGCUCUCUGGGUGGCGAGUGGCGGACGGGUGAGGAAUACAUCGGAAUCUACUUUUUCGUGGGGGAUAACGUAGGGAAACUUACGCUAAUACCGCAUACGACCUACGGGUGAAGGCAGGGGACCUUCGGGCCUUGCGCGAUUGAAUGAGCCGAUGUCGGAUUAGCUAGUUGGCGGGGUAAAGGCCCACCAAGGCGCCGAUCCGUAGCUGGUCUGGGAGGAUGAUCAGCCACACUGGAACUGAGACACGGUCCAGACUCCUACGGGAGGCAGCAGUGGGGAAUAUUGGACAAUGGGCGCAAGCCUGAUCCAGCCAUACCGCGUGGGCGAAGAAGGCCUUCGGGUUGUAAAGCCCUUUUGUUGGGAAAGAAAUCCAGCUGGCUAAUACCCGGUUGGGAUGACGGUACCCAAAGAAUAAGCACCGGCUAACUUCGUGCCAGCCGCCGCCGUAA
rnacentral:rRNA from 1 species